rnacentral:rRNA from 1 species
GACGAACGCUGGCGGCGUGCUUAACACAUGCAAGUCGAACGGAAAGGCCCUGCUUUUGUGGGGUGCUCGAGUGGCGAACGGGUGAGUAACACGUGAGUAACCUGCCCUUGACUUUGGGAUAACUUCAGGAAACUGGGGCUAAUACCGGAUAGGAGCUCCUGCUGCAUGGUGGGGGUUGGAAAGUUUCGGCGGUUGGGGAUGGACUCGCGGCUUAUCAGCUUGUUGGUGGGGUAGUGGCUUACCAAGGCUUUGACGGGUAGCCGGCCUGAGAGGGUGACCGGCCACAUUGGGACUGAGAUACGGCCCAGACUCCUACGGGAGGCAGCAGUGGGGAAUAUUGCACAAUGGGCGGAAGCCUGAUGCAGCAACGCCGCGUGCGGGAUGACGGCCUUCGGGUUGUAAACCGCUUUCGCCUGUGACGAAGCGUGAGUGACGGUAAUGGGUAAAGAAGCACCGGCUAACUACGUGCCAGCAGCCGCGGUGAUACGUAGGGUGCGAGCGUUGUCCGGAUUUAUUGGGCGUAAAGGGCUCGUAGGUGGUUGAUCGCGUCGGAAGUGUAAUCUUGGGGCUUAACCCUGAGCGUGCUUUCGAUACGGGUUGACUUGAGGAAGGUAGGGGAGAAUGGAAUUCCUGGUGGAGCGGUGGAAUGCGCAGAUAUCAGGAGGAACACCAGUGGCGAAGGCGGUUCUCUGGGCCUUUCCUGACGCUGAGGAGCGAAAGCGUGGGGAGCGAACAGGCUUAGAUACCCUGGUAGUCCACGCUGUAAACGGUGGGUACUAGGUGUGGGGUCCAUUCCACGGGUUCCGUGCCGUAGCUAACGCUUUAAGUACCCCGCCUGGGGAGUACGGCCGCAAGGCUAAAACUCAAAGGAAUUGACGGGGCCCCGCACAAGCGGCGGAGCAUGCGGAUUAAUUCGAUGCAACGCGUAGAACCUUACCUGGGUUUGACAUGGAUCGGGAGUGCUCAGAGAUGGGUGUGCCUCUUUUGGGGUCGGUUCACAGGUGGUGCAUGGCUGUCGUCAGCUCGUGUCGUGAGAUGUUGGGUUAAGUCCCGCAACGAGCGCAACCCUUGUUCACUGUUGCCAGCACGUUAUGGUGGGGACUCAGUGGAGACCGCCGGGGUCAACUCGGAGGAAGGUGGGGAUGACGUCAAGUCAUCACGCCCCUUAUGUCCAGGGCUUCACGCAUGCUACAAUGGCUGGUACAGAGAGUGGCGAGCCUGUGAGGGUGAGCGAAUCUCGGAAAGUCGGUCUCAGUUCGGAUUGGGGUCUGCAACUCGACCUCAUGAAGUCGGAGUCGCUAGUAAUCGCAGAUCAGCAACGCUGCGGUGAAUACGUUCCCGGGGCU